AUCCCAGAUGGCUUUGACUUCUCAAACGAGGCUGACACGAGUAUUCCUGGCUCCCCGAUCCAACUCGGCUCCACUGACCUAGGGAUCAAACGUGUGCAAGAGGGGGAGGUGCUGGUGCGCAGGAGCCCUGAGCACGGCUCGCCGGAGCCCAACUCAGCAGCAGCCACAACAGAGGGUGCUGAAAGUAUAAAUGGAGGAGAAGAGUCUGUAAACCUGAAUGAUGCAGAUGAAGGGUUUUCAUCAGGGGCCUCCCUCAGCAGCCAGCCAGUUGGGACCAAAGCAUCCUCCUCUUCUCAGAGGGGAAGCUUGCGCAAAGUAGCAACUGGGCGUUCAGCCAAAGAUAAAGAAGCAACUUCCACCAUCAGAUCCAGUGAGAGCCCUCGAGAGUCAGUCAUGCGCAAACAGUAUGGACAGCAGCCAACUGACCUUAGUGUAGAUUCAGUUGAGCUGACACCAAUGAAGAAACACCUGAGCCUGCCUGCUGGCCAGGUGGUGCCAAAAACCAGUAGUCUGAGUCUAAUCCGGACAGCCAGUGCUUCCUCAAGUAAAUCCUUUGACUAUGUAAAUGGCAGUCAAGCAGGUACCAGCAUCAGGGCCGGCACAGAGGGAGUCACCAAUCUAGCAGCUAACAGUGCUAACCGAUACUCAACCAUCAGCCUCCAGGAAGACCGGUUGGGUCAAGCUGGUGAUGGGAAAGAGCUUCUCAGCCCAGGAGCCCCCUUAACCAAGCAGUCCCGCUCCCCAAGUUUCAACAUGCAGCUGAUAUCCCAGGUGUAGCUUCAACAACCUCUCUGCUCUUUCUGCUUUCCUUGUAACCGAACGUUUCAUUGUGCAAGAAGACACUUCAUCCCGCAUUGUGAAAAUACUGGUCAUCACAAUCAGAUUUGAGUUGGUUUAGUUAGAUAUUCAUACUGUAUUUUGUAUGGAAACAGCA
rnacentral:lncRNA from 1 species